rnacentral:rRNA from 1 species
CGCCUCUAGAUUACUAUAUUAAAGGUCCAUCCUGCCCAAUGACAAAGUUUAAAUGGCCGCGGUACCCUGACCGUGCUAAGGUAGCAUAAUCAUUUGCCUCUUAAUUGGUGGCUAGUAUGAAUGGACACACGCAAGUACCCCUGUCUCAUCAGCAUAUAUAAAAAUUACCAAUCAGGUGAAGAGGCCUGAAUGAAAUAAAAAGACAAAAAGACCCUAUGGAGCUUUAUUUAACACCUCAAUGCCACCAGCUAACACCACCCCACUUUGAGCAAAUAAAUUUAGUUGGGGCGACUAAGGAAAACUAUAAAUCUUCCUCAUAAAAAAGAAAAUAAAUCCUCAUUGAUCCGUUAUACGAAUAAAGACACAGCUACCCUAGGGAUAACAGGCUAAUUCUUCUCGAGAGCCCAAAUUGACAGAAGAGAUUGGCACCUCGAUGUUGGCUUAGGGUUCCUACAGGGUGCAGAAGCCCUGUAAG